UAUGGGUUUACUGUUAAACAGAUGCAGGCGAUAUGGUCCAAAAUUACUAAGGGCUUGAGCAGUACGGCAGCAAACCAUCUAGACCAGGGACGCAGUAUUGAUACCCGACCCUUUGCUGAGAUCACUUAUUAUACAACCACAGAUAAGAUUUUAGGUAGAAAUAAGAAUGAAGGGAAAUACCGCAUGACACAAAUGAGGGGCCCUACGAUCUUUAACUUAGUAAGAAAUGAUAAAGAGCACAUCCCAAUGCAUUGAAGAUCGGGAAUAUAUUCUAUUCCCCUAUACAAUAAUGAUGAACAAGUAGGGCAGUGUUACGUUGAUGAACAAGUAGAGUAGUGUAAGAUCUUAGAAAAACGAAUACGUGAACAUAAAGCAGAUAUCACAGCAGGUAGAUUAACCACUGCCCUAUCAACCACAGCAUCUGAACAG
rnacentral:lncRNA from 1 species